AACGAACGCUGGCGGCAUGCCUAACACAUGCAAGUCGAACGAGAUCUUCGGGUCUAGUGGCGCACGGGUGCGUAACGCGUGGGAAUCUGCCCUCAGGUUCGGAAUAACCAUUGGAAACGAUGGCUAAUACCGGAUGAUGACGUUAAGUCCAAAGAUUUAUCGCCUGAGGAUGAGCCCGCGUAGGAUUAGCUAGUUGGUGUGGUAAAGGCGCACCAAGGCGACGAUCCUUAGCUGGUCUGAGAGGAUGAUCAGCCACACUGGGACUGAGACACGGCCCAGACUCCUACGGGAGGCAGCAGUGGGGAAUAUUGGACAAUGGGCGAAAGCCUGAUCCAGCAAUACCGCGUGAGUGAUGAAGGCCUUAGGGUUGUAAAGCUCUUUUACCCGGGAUGAUAAUGACAGUACCGGGAGAAUAAGCUCCGGCUAACUCCGUG
rnacentral:rRNA from 1 species